UUUUUUUUUUUUGUCCUUAACCGUAGGCAUGAUCUUCUCACACAACCUUUAUAAUCACACAUUACAAAGUUGGUUGUGAGAGGUUUAUAUCAUUUAAGCUACAUCCUCAAGAUUUAUAGGUCAUUUUGUGAAUGCUCAUCGUGGUUCAUUUUUAUUCUUUUUGAUAUUUUAACUCUUUUUUUAAUAAUUAGUUCAUCCCUAUUCAUUUGGAGUAAUUAUUAUCAAUGAACAAAAUUAUUAGCUUUUUUGUAUCUAUUUGUAGGAUCCUACGAUCCUCGAUCCGAUCCUACGAUCCGAUCCCGAAAGGCCCCCAAACUGAUCCAAGGUAGGAUCCCGAUUUUGACAACCUACUUUUGGUUCUAUCGAUCACAUAUUUAAUCCAAAUUUUUAUCUAAAUAUUUGAGAAUAUAGAGACAAGCGAUAAACCAAUAACGUUUUUAAUAAGUAGUGCACAUGCAGGUUAUGUUACCACUUUUCGUUCAUAUUUGUCACCACUGAGUAAUAGGUGUCAAAAUGAUACAAUUUAAUAAUUAGGGCUACCACUGAAGGGGGGUCAAGUAAGGAGAAAAGUAUCAGAGGAAAAACAGACAGUUCUCAACAGAUAGACAGAAAAGGGAGAUGAUUUUUUAAAUGAGGGAGUGAAAAGUAACACAAGGCGAUAGUUUAGGGGUAUCUAAAAAAUUAAGUUAGAGAAUAUUCACUGGAAUAUUAUGAUCCAAUGAUUUUUACAUACCCAAGUUUAAGCCACAUUUUUAAUACAUAAUAGGUAACAAAAACAUCUCAAUCAAUUGGCAAUUAGUAAUAUAACCUAAGCUUGAUUUGAAGUAAAAAUAAAUAGAUUAAAAUGAAAAAAUAAUUCAACGGCUUAAUUAAUUAACUCAGUACUUAAAAGACGUGACAUGGUAUUAAGUUGUGUAAUUUAGAAAGAUUUUGAAUGUCUUGAAAAUUUAAUAAUCUUAUUUAUAAAUUUCAUGUAACAACAAAAUAAAAAAAUAUUUUAAUUCAAUGGAUCACCCUUACCUUGCAAUUUCUUUUUCUCAGGAGAUUACAGUAUCAAAAAUUACAUCAAUUGAAAAUAAUCAAUUUCUAUUUUGGGGCGAAGAUUGACUUCCCACCCUUUCAUAUAGAAUAGUAUAAAAAUGACCAACUAAACUAACCAAAUUAUUUACUUACCUUGAAGUAUACAGAGUUCUAAUUAGAAGUUCAUGAGGUCAAAUAUUAACCGCAUACAAGUUUAUGAUUCUCUCCCUGCAAAAGGAUUUCGCAUGUACAAAUAAACAAGAAAAAAAAUAAAGAAAGAAGAUUUUUAAGAUCAUAAUUAUCAAUCAUGUAUUGUAUCGAUCAGUACUGGGGUACAUAUUGUAUUGGAUAAAAUACAAAAUGUACAAUUCUAUCUUCCGUUUUGCUUAAGAUAUCAACUUGUACCAGGUGUACUAGCUCGUAUCGGCAAAAUCUCAGAAUUCUUGCAUAAAUUUAAAGUUUUGAUUGUAAAUUUUAAAGCUCAAUGAAUUUUAAAAGAGUUUGUUUACUAGAAUAUCAUAGUUCGUUGUUUGAAUUAUCUUGAACUUGUGAUGUGUGAUUAAAUUUCAUGUUAUUUUUAAUUCUACUAACUAUAAAAUAUAAAAUGUAUAACUAUAAAUUUAAAACAAUAUAUUCCAAAAAUAGUACGUACUAUAUUCAUAAUCAAAACAGUAGGUUGCCCGGUACAAAAUUUGAGUCAAUUGACAACUUAAUAUCACUAUAUACGUGGUCCUACAUUAGUUUUGAUUUAAACGCACAUAAAAAAAAAGGAACGUCGAGAAUUCGAAAAAAACUCGAAGCAACAUAUGGAAACAUAUAAUGUAUCGAUUACGACCCAUGUAGACAUAGGGACUUUGCAUGGAGAUCUCGAAUUUAUAAGUAGGAUUUAGGAACUAUGUACUAAAUGGCAUCAAGUGCUAUGCGAAUAAACGUUUCUUCCAACAUUAUUCUAGGAAUUGACAUGACAGUUAUCAUUUAAUUUCAACAGAUAUCGUUUUAAAUUUUAAAGCUUUAUUCUGGUACGAGAUGUCAGUUUCUAAAAAAAAUUGUAAGAAACGUUUGUUUGUAUAUAAUUGUGCCUAGGCAAUAAGCAUAAAUUACUGCCUGAGCGACCGCCCAAGCGAUUAAGCGAUUGAAUAACUUUAUAUGCUAUAUUUAUUAUAUAUGUAGUAGUCAUUUGAUAUUCAUUCCACGUAACAUAUAUAGAUUCGAACUUACUAAACUCAAAACAUAAGACAUUUAUUAUAUGUUUGAGAUAAAUAUGUCAAAUAAUACAGAAAAUAUAUUGAAAGAAAAUAUUUGUUAGUUUUCAUCAAAAUAAGUUGAAACAAUAAUAUUAGAUCGGUGCGGUCGCUCAGUUAAAAGUUAGCACCUAUGGUGUCUGGACAAUAUCCCAAUCAUCUAGGUGAUUGCCCAAUUAUAGAUAGUUCAAACAUGCAUCGCCUAUUCAUUUUGAAUAGGGAACCUCACUCAGGCGGGU
rnacentral:lncRNA from 1 species